CUUCAUUUGGUCUUGUUUUCUUUCUAUUCCAUUUAGCUGAAGCUUCGUUCUGCUUAAUUCCACUUUCAUUUCAUCUUGUCUCGCUUUCGUUUCAGCUUGGGACUGUUUCAUCUCGUCAAUACUCUCCUGAAUUGAAAAAUUCAAAACUGAAUAUGUUGCAGUAUUAUUGUUAAAGGACAUUAACAAUAAAAUUUAGUUUGUGUCGAUUGAAAGAACAUUUAAAAUUACAACUAAAAUACAUUUUCAAGCAUAUUUUUUAUAUCAAGCUUAACUCUUGAAAUAUUUUGACUGACAGAUAUGAAUCAAAGAUGGGCCAUCUUAGUUAAUUCUUAGCUUCAUCAGUUAACUAUGGUCUUGGUGACGUCAUGCAGGAGUGGAACUAGCCCAGUGAAAUGAAUAUACCCGAAACGCUACCUUCUGAUAAACUGCCUAUCUUUUUGUUGAAGCCAAAUCUGACCGACAUGGGAGUCAAAACACCCGUGUUUAUGUUUCGUGAUUCUCUCGCGAGACCGGCCAGUUAAAACUCUUUGCGAGCCACCCCCAGUCGCGUCAUCAAAAAAUUUUCCGGACAUACCAUUUUUCAAAAACAUUCCCAUUUAUAUACCGUAAUUUGUUAACUUUUCUGUGAUUUUCGUAUUUAUUUCAAAUUUUGGCUGACUACGAAAACAACUUGCCGAGUCAAGCAGACAUUUAUCGAGUCCUUAGUGAAUGGCGGCUGUUACACCCCAUCUAGCUACGGCCCUGCCUUCAAGUUUUGCUUCAAUUAGGGUUAGCCUUGUAAAGUUAUACUUGUAAGUGACCGAGUAAAAAUUCAAAAGAGUUUAAUUAAAUGUGUUUAUUCAUUUCAAAAUUUGAAAUAGCAUGCCACCAAAAAAGAGUUUCGGUCUCAUAUUGAUACCAGGCUGUGAAGAAAAAACAGAAUUGCGUAAUCCGACUUGUGAUGUGACAUGCAUAUCCUCCACAAUCGAAGUUAUAGCGCACAGCUCACUGUUUCAGUAGUCAAUUCUGCAUCCAAUUUCUCUUUUUAGACCUAGUUUUGCAGAGAAAAAGGUUUGAAGUGUAUACACUUGUUAUUUUCUGUAAUUAAAUUGACUUACUAUAUCCAAUAAACUAACAUAAGAAAACAAAUCAAGUCCGCAACCUCGUACCCAGGCUCUUCCUUUUACGCUCCUCGCUUGAGGAAACACCUUGGUAUUUAAUAACUGAUCAUGUUCAAUGAAGAAUAAAUAAGUACAUUAAUAAACAGCGUACUUAGCUCGAUAUUCACUUAUAACAAAUCCUCUAUUUUGGGUCUUUAUAGGAGUCCAUUUAUUAGCAAUCGAUUGCUUCACAGUGUUUUUCUCUUAUGGUGAAAUGAUAAAUUGUAUAUUGCGUGUUUGCGUGUGUCCUUGCUUUAGCUGGGUGAAAGUUUUGUAUUCUGUUUCUAAUCAGAAAUGUCUGUUUUUACCUUUAGCAUAAUGUAUAGGUCUCACUCUAUAUUACACUCCACAGUAUGUAACGUCAGAUAAGGCAUGCAAGGAAGGUAUCUUUCUAUAAAUUCAAAUUAACAGAAUCUAUCCGACACACAAACAGCUGAGUCAAAUUUUCUUGCAGCAUUUUCCCUUAAACUUCUUCACUUCAUAUUUUCUUUCUGGUAUAAAAAAAUCGGUAUGCAUUACAAUUUUAUUUACUCUCCACUCUCUUAUAUAGAUUAAUUAGCUAAUUAAAAGACGACUACUUAGCUAAUUGAAAGACGAGGAAAUGGAAUAUGUAUACUAAAACUCCAACACUUUAUUGAGUUAUAUUUUCUUACUGUUAAUUCUAUAGAUAUGUGGCACGUUAUCGAGCCAUUCCACUAAUUAUGAUUGCAUUUUACGGCAAUUUACAACAUACUCGCUGUUGGCUGAUAGGAAUAUGUUCUGUUUGGCUUGUCCUUGAGUAUAUAUUACAAAUCCUUUGCUAGUAUUUCUUUACGGUUUUGCCCAAUAUGAAACUGAAAGGCUCCAGCACUAUUUUAUGCAGACCUUACGCAGCGACGUCGCAAAAAUUCACAAAAAAUACAUAUACAAAGUUCCAUUUACUUUAUUGACUGUUUGUUUCAAAGCCAUCUCGCCCAUUGAUUUUGCAACACAAGCUCUUGCUAUUCAUUAAAAUUACAUCAAUUUGUUAAAUUACACCUACUCUGACCUUUAUCUAAUUGACAUAGGCAUCCUGAUCGGCAACUAGAUCGGUAGAACAAAC